rnacentral:rRNA from 1 species
GUGAGGAAUUUUCCGCAAUGGACGAAAGCCUGACGGAGCAAUGCCGCGUGAAGGAUGAAGGCCUAUGGGUUGUAAACUUCUUUUCUCAGAAAAGAAUUAUGACGGUAUCUGAGGAAUAAGCAUCGGCUAACUCUGUGCCAGCAGCCGCGGUAAGACAGAGGAUGCAAGCGUUAUCCGGAAUGAUUGGGCGUAAAGCGUCUGUAGGUUGUUUAAAAAGUAUUCUGUCAAAGAUUAGGGCUUAACCCUAGAUAGGCAGAAUAAACUUUUAAGCUAGAGUUUGGUGGAGGCAGAGGGAAUUCCCGGUGGAGCGGUGAAAUGCGUAGAUAUCGGGAGGAACACCAAAGGCGAAGGCACUCUGCUGGGCCAAUACUAACACUGAGAGACGAAAGCGAGGGGAGCAAAUGGGAUUAGAAACCCCAGUAGUCC